AACCAUUCUCACCUGCGGCUAGACCUGCGGAGGGAUCAUUACCGAGUUUACAACUCCCAAACCCCUGUGAACAUACCACUUGUUGCCUCGGCGGAUCAGCCCGCUCCCGGUAAAACGGGACGGCCCGCCAGAGGACCCCUAAACUCUGUUUCUAUAUGUAACUUCUGAGUAAAACCAUAAAUAAAUCAAAACUUUCAACAACGGAUCU
rnacentral:misc_RNA from 1 species